AGUUAAGUGGUGCCUUGACUGACUUGGACCUCGGAUUCCCGCCGAGCAAGAACGCAGUACAGCAGUUGAACCAGCUCAGAGGGAGCCCAGUCGAAAACAGACCAAGCUUUGGAACUUAGCUGCUGUUUGUCACGAACUCACGAAGUGUUCAGUUGAGAGUUUGGGGACAAGUUAGUUUACAGAAUUCAGAGAUUGGGUAUCCGCCCUCCGUGGUUUAUUUACCUGGGACGUUCUCUUGGAUCUGAAGGGAUGAUAAAGGAUGGAUUACAAAUAAUGCCAGGGGAUGAUAUUUAUGAUGUUCUUUUGAUUGGGAGUGAUACCAAGUAUAUUCCUGCUGAAUAUGGAAUUUGAUUGAUGUCUCGCUGAUUUCCCGUUGUGAAAGGGUUCCUGGACUAAAUUCAAGUUGCAGAAGUAUUUGCAGAGCUUGGCGUGGCUGUACAUGGAAUACGGUUCAGCUACAAAAUUGAGCAUGUGCCGAUUAAAAGAAGAAGAAGAUUUAUGCUGGGUUCUACACUUCUGAAGCAUCAAUGUUACCCCCUCGCUUAUGUUCUGAAUUACCUCAAAACAAUCAACCAGGAACAAAAUUGCAGAGACUCAAGUUUGUAACACGACAUCUUUGGAUAUGUAAUCCCUCAAAGGUAUUGCACUUAUGUACGAAUAUGUUUUCGCUGAGAACCUAAAACUGAGCACAGAGUCUAUUGGCAACCAUCUGUGAGGUAGAAACUAGAAAUAUGAUACUUAGAUAGGAAGUAAGAACUGUAGUUUUAAAUAACUAAAGGUGGCUGUUGUGCUUAUAUAACUUCUGCGUGUAUGCUGGAAAAACUGCGUAGGCUCCUGCUAGGCUAGGAUCUCACUAUACAAAAUUAUCACUUGGCAGGACUCUGGAUCUUUGGUUUGAGAAAGGGAAGUUACUCCUUUAAGGUAUAAGAAGAUUGCUUCAUCAAUGUAUGCCAACUCUCUGCUUGCAGACAUGCCCAUAUAUAACAUAUAAUAUACUAUUCACAGACCAAUAGCCUUAGUUGUCUUUAGGCAUGCAUGUAAUGUUGAAUAUUUCAAAUUGAUUUCUUACCGCAAUAAGUCACUAGCCCUCAUAAGGGGUGUAAAAGCAGAUUAACGAAUUGUAUUUCAAUCCAUUCGAGGACAUAUGAUUCAGCCCUUGAUGACACAUGGGGUGACCAGCACAUAUUCUAAUUGUAUUUCAAUCUAUUGGAUGACAUAAAUUCAGCAGGUAUAUACCCCUGAAUACCAAAAGAACCAUGAAAUGUCUACUUAACUAAUUAUAUUAAGAGAUGUCAUAGAGCGUCAUGUUGUUGUUGUUGUAAUAUAAAUGAAAACGCUUUGUACAUGUUGUUGCAAUUAUUGGCAGUACUGAUGUAACACUGACAGUAGUUCAUUUACAGCAGGGAACCAAAUUGCAGUUGUGCUAAUCUCUGAUGACCAGGAAAGGGUUUACUUCUUCUUGCUCAUGCCUUUUCUUAUCUGGUAUUCUGUGUUUUUUUUUAAGUAUCAAAAUCUGAGCUGGAUGACCAACUUUGGUAUACCUCUUCUACAAUCAUAAAGUAAAUUGUUAAUUGUUUUGGAUCCUGAGAUAUGUUACUUGUUUAUAAUGACAUAGUUUAGAGAACCAUACACAAAACAAUUGUUAAAGCUCAAUACAAAAUUUGAUCAAACUGAUAAAUUUCAAAAUAUGCUUCACUCCCUCCUAUAAUUAAUCUUACAUUUUCUUUCAGGGAAUCAACAAGCAAUGGAAUACCAUAGAAGAAAACCAGAAGGAAGGCAUCACUUGUUUCACCUACUUUCAGUUGGCAAUAAUUGUUUCCCUUUUUUCUUGCAGAUAAAAACUUCUACAUCAGAUGAAGUACUGCACUAUUAGAACAAAUGCCUAUCUACCAGAAAAAUCUGUUUUUGCUUCUGUAGUCUCAUUUUCUAUGCAAACUGUCAUCAUAAUAAUAAUGCAUGCAAAUUCUGGCCAUCUUAAUCUAUGAUGUUGUAUUAUAAUGAGUUAUCUAUACAUUUAGUUUAUCUGCU